rnacentral:snRNA from 1 species
GAUCUGGCUGCAACAUCUAUCACCCCAUUGAUCACGAGGGUUGAUUCAGUGGAUGUGGCGGGUAGGUGGGUGUCGCAAUAGAAGAGGGACAUUCUUUAGUCAGGGACAUACCAGCAGUUGCACUCCCCUGCUAGAACCCAGAUAAGCUCUCAAGGUCCAUUUGUAGGCAAAGGUGGGGUAGUCAAGCUUCCAAGACUCCAGACACAUCCAAAUGAGGUGCUGUAUGUGGUAGUCUGCUUUUCUUU